GCCCUCGUAGCUCAGGUGGAUAGAGCAAGGGAUUUCUAAUCCUUUGGCCGUGGGUUCGAGUCCUACCGAGGGCG
rnacentral:tRNA from 2 species